rnacentral:rRNA from 1 species
GUAGGUGGUUUGUCAAGCGAAUAGUGAAACCUGGUGGCUCAACCAUACAGACUAUUAUUCGAACUGACAGACUCGAGAGUGGUAGAGGUAGCUGGAAUUUCUAGUGUAGGAGUGAAAUCCGUAGAUAUUAGAAGGAACACCAAUGGCGUAGGCAGGCUACUGGACCAUUUCUGACACUAAGGCACGAAAGCGUGGGGAGCGAACCGGAUUAGAUACCCGGGUAGUCCACGCCGUAAACGAUGGAUACUAGCUGUUGGAGGUAUCGACCCCUUCAGUAGCGAAGCUAACGCGUUAAGUAUCCCGCCUGUGGAGUACGGUCGCAAGACUAAAACAUAAAGGAAUUGACGGGGACCCGCACAAGCGGUGGAGCGUGUUCUUUAAUUCGAUGAUAAACGAAGAACCUUACCAGGGCUUGACAUCCCGAGAAUUACUCCGAAAGGAGUGAGUGCUUUAUUGAACUCGGUGACAGGUGCUGCAUGGCCGUCGUCAGCUCGUGUCGUGAGAUGUUUGGUUAAGUCCAUUAACGAGCGCAACCCUUAUGAAUAGUUGGAUUUUUCUAUUCAGACUGCCCCGGCAACGGGGAGGAAGGAGGGGAUGAUGUCAGGUCAGUAUUGCCCUUACGUCCUGGGCCAGAAACGCGCUACAAUGGCCGGUACAAUGCGCAGCAAAGCGGUGGCGUGGAGCAAAUCGCAUCAAAGCCGGUCCCAGUUCGGAUAGCAGGCUGAAACUCGCCUGCUUGAAGCCGGAAUCGCUAGUAAUCGCAGGUCAGCAAACUGCGGUGAAUACGUUCCCGGGUCUUGUACACACCGCCCGUCAAACCAUGAAAGUCACCAACACCCGAAGUCCAGUACGUCUGGCCUAAGGUGGGGGGGAUGAUUGGGGUU